AGGGUGCGCAGCGCGAAAGCUAGCAGCCCGCAGCCUGCGGGUUCACGUAGAGACAGGCUACGGUUACCCGGUAUUUUUCUCUCUUGUGUUUUAUUAACAGUCCAAGUUGCGGUUUCCAGUACUUGGCAAGUGGAUACACGAUUCGCUUUUCACGUUAUCUCUUUCUUUGGGGUGCGAUUUGGUGGUUCCUGUUGGCCACUUCCGUCCUUCCUGUACGUAUUUAUUUUGUUGUUUCUCUGUGUGGUGCUAGCUGUCCUCUCGCUGUAGACCAGACUGACCUCGAACUCGGAGAUCCACCUGCCUCUUGGUUUUGGUUAUUUGUUUUUUUAAAUACAGUAUCGCUGUGCAACAGUCUGGCUUCAAACUCAAGCUCCGUCUCCUGUGUGCCGGCCUGACAAGAAUGAACCAGUUUUUCUGAACAUCAGAGAUCCGGGGGAUGCCCCUGGCUGGCUACAGAAUCAACUUAGAGCCAGUGGUGUGUGAGACCACAGGGCAGCAGCUACAUACAGAGUAGGAAAACGGUGCCCUCAAUCUUAGAGAGGGAGGGAGGGGGGCUCCUAAAGUCGGAACUGGAGGGGCUGGAGAGAUGGCUCAGCUGUUAAGAGCACUGGCUGCUCUUCCAGAGGAUCCAGGUUCAAUUCCCAGCACCCACAUGGCAGCUCAUGACCAUCUGUAACUCCAGUUCCAGGGGAUUCGACAACCUCCCACAGACAUACAUGCAAGCAAAACACCAGUGCACAUUAAAUAAAACAUUUAAAGUGGUGAUUGGACCCGUGUCCUCUGGAAGAGCAGACAGUGCUCUUAACCACUGAGCCAUCUUUCCAGACCCCUCCCCCCCUUAUAGCCAUUAGUGGUCUACUACCCAUUUCUCCAACUCCCUUAGCAUCAGGCAACCACUAGCAUUCUUUGUUCCUGUGGACUGUGUUUAUGACCAAAUUAAGAGCCCCCUUAAUUAUACUCACUGCCCCUGAGGAGCACCCGUCAUCCCGAGCUUCAUACCAUUUGGCUUUGACAGUUCAUUUGUGCAGAGACAGAAGGGAGAGCUUGCUGUCCCACCCAUGGACAGCUGCAAUCCCAGGCCUGGGCAGGGCCACUGAAGCUCUGAGUCCUGCUAGUCCAUGCCAGGCUGGUGCCUGGUAGUCUAACUGCAGAAAGCCCCCAAAGCAGUCUCGGUGCCUUUCCUUCCACUCCAUGUCUUUCUGUACUCUCCAAGUCCCUUAACACUAAAUAAUUCAAACAAUAAGCCUUCUCGGUGCUGACUGGUGCCUGGCUUCAUGUCAAGCAAACUCUCUGAAGUAAAUAAAUAAAUAAAAAUUAUCUUACUAUGUAGUCCUAGCCAGUCUCAAACUCACAAGAGAUCUCCCUGCCCCUGCCCCCUCAGGGCUGGAUCAAAGGCAUGCACACACCGUGCCACGCAGAAGUGAAAGUUUAAAUCAUUUAAUUGUAUGGGCUGAGUGUUUUACCUGCUUAUAUGUAAGUGUAUAUGUGCCAGCCUGGUGCCCUCAGAGGUCUGAACGUGACAUUGAAUGCCCUGGAACUGGAAUUUUAGGUGAUUGUGAACCCCCGGGUGGUGCUGGGGAUCAAUCUGGGUCCUCCAAAAAAGCAACACGCGUCCAUCUCUCCCGCUCCGUAAAUAUUUUAGUUCAUUUCUAUACGUGUGGAUGUUUUGCCUGCAUGCAAGGCACCUAGUGUGUGCCUGGUGCUUAGGGAGGCUAGAAGAGGGCAUCAGAUCCCCUGGCACUGGAGUUACAGAUGGUUGCGAGAUGCCAUGUGGGUGCUGGGAAUUAAACCCAAGUCCUCUGGAAGAGCAGCUGGUGCUCUAAACCACUGAGCCAUGUCUCUAGCAUUUGAAGUAAAGAGUGUAUUUUACAGAUUUAGAAAAAAAUAGAGCCAGGAGUAACAGUUGUGCACCAAGCACUCUGGAGGUGGAUAGAGGGUACUGUCUUCAGUGUAAGUGAGCCGGCCCAUCUUGGGAAAAGUGUUUCCUCAAGAUUAAAUAAACAACU
rnacentral:lncRNA from 1 species